rnacentral:rRNA from 1 species
UGGGGAAUCUUGCACAAUGGGGGAAACCCUGAUGCAGCGACGCCGCGUGAGCGAUGAAGCCCUUCGGGGUGUAAAGCUCUUUCGGCAGGAACGAUAAUGACGGUACCUGCAGAAGAAGCUGCGGCUAACUACGUGCCAGCAGCCGCGGUAAUACGUAGGCAGCAAGCGUUGUUCGGAAUUACUGGGCGUAAAGAGUGUGUAGGUGGUGUCGUAAGUUUGGUGUGAAAUCUCCCGGCUUAACUGGGAGGGUGCGCCGAAGACUGCGAUGCUCGAGUAUGGGAGAGGAAAGCGGAAUUCCUGGUGGAGCGGUGAAAUGCGUAGAUAUCAGGAGGAACACCUGCGGUGUAGACGGCUUUCUGGACCAUUACUGACACUGAGACACGAAAGCGUGGGUAGCAAACAGG